CUUUGAAAAAGUCUAAUUAAAAAAAUCCAUGAUAUUUUCUGGUAUGAAAGUUUGACAGUAUUAAUAUUUUUUUUAUAUUUUCUUAAAUCAUUAAACCAUUUUAAUAUAUGUUAAUUACUAAUAAAUGGUUUAUUCUUUCUAACUCCAUAUAAGCUUUUCCAGCAAAGAUUUUAAUAACACAUUUAUGUUCUCAUUUUUCUACAGAUAUAAGUAAAUUUAUAUUUAAAAAUACCAAAAAAUAAAUAUAUAUAUGUAUGUAUACAUACCAUACACGCGCACACACACACACACACACACACACACACACACACACACAAUUAUAGAGGACCCUUAGGUUGUCUGAGCCCAGCUACCUUCAUUUUUAGUACUGUGUUGUCGGGCUGUUUCCAGGCCUCAGGUGUUGUCUUUUGUGCUGUGUGGGGAUAUCAUUGCUGCCUGUACUUAAUGAUCCUUUCACCGUGGGUUCUGAACGUUCACCUCACCAUGUUUACAGAAAACUGUUUUGUACAUAGAGUUCUUCAGGCACACGCUUUGCACCAACCCAGUGUGGCUCUUGUCUGUAUUAGCUGUCACAGUGUACACACUAAUCUCUGUUAGAGUUCUUUGUGGCUGUUUUACUUGUAAGAUAGUUUUCUAUUUCCUUCAGUAAUGUGUCCAGAGUACCCUGUAUUUCGAGUUCUAUUAUAUUGAAGUACUUUUGUUUUAAUAGUGCCUCCCCAAAGACCUCACCCUGGACAGAAGUCAGUCCUUGAUGCCCCAGUGCAAGUGACAUCGCUAAUUGUCACUUUCUAGUUUGUUCUUCUCUAAGAAGACAGUUCGUAAUUGCAACUCUGUGGGCUGUGAGACUGUGUGAAGCUGUUUGUGUAGUUUCCGUGUAGGUGCUGUGUUCCCAGCAGUUCUGAACACUGGUAAUUCCAGGUGCUGCGCUCGGCAGAGGGGUCUCGCCAAAGCGCAUAUGUGUGUGUGUGUGUGCGUGUGUGUGCGUGCGUGAGAGUGUGUCCUUGGCAUGGCCGGGCGUGGCUGCCUUGCUCAGGCAUCAGCAGGACAUUUUGUGAAUAGUUACAAUGCUUCCAAACUGGAACUCUACAUUUUGUAUCUUACUUUUAAAGCUCCUAUAAGUGAAAUACCUAUUCGCUUUAUUAAAAAAUAUACAUUUAAUAAUA
rnacentral:lncRNA from 1 species